rnacentral:rRNA from 1 species
UACGUAGGGGGCUAGCGUUGUCCGGAAUCAUUGGGCGUAAAGCGCGUGUAGGCGGUUCGGUAAGUCCGCUGUGAAAGUCGGGGGUCAACCCUCGGAUGCCGGUGGAUACUGUCGGACUAGAGUGCGGAAGAGGCGAGUGGGAAUUCCGUGGUGAUAGGCGGUGAAUGCGCAGAGUAUCAGGAGGAACAGCCGGUGGCGAAGGCGGGAUCCUGG